GCUCUCACUACCAGUGAGUGGCUAUUCUGAUUGAUGGGAGUUUGGCCCCGCUGUUUUGGCUUUCUAUCGGUGACCCCGGAGAAUGGACAGGAAAAGUUUCACCCCAGAGGAUUGCUGUUGGUGACUGGAGAUGUUGUGGGACUGGGAAGCUGAUAUACCCAGUGGUCUGUGUCAUCUCCGCCCCCUGGCCAAGGGGUCAUCCUGAUCUCUGAACCCCCACUCCUCACCCUCCUCCCACCAGCCUGACCCAGCGACCACCCCACCUUGCACCCAACCAAGCGGACCGAAGACCCUUAAACAGUGCCAGGCUCAAUCACCACCUCAAGUCCUCUGAGAUCACGCAGGUCUUAAGUGAAGAUUCUUUUGGAAGUUGUAAAAAGAGAGAAAUCAAGAAGCACUUUUUUUU
ensembl:lncRNA